AGCUGUCAUUUACAGUGGAACUUCCACUUUGCAAAAUGAAAACGUCCUUAUCUCGCACUGACUCACGAAUUUCAACGCUUGUCUCGCCAUUUGCAAACCUUUUUAGAGAUACAUCACAAGGUGUAAUUCCAAGUCGGUUAGAAAUGAGAUGUAAAAGUUCAGGAUGAGAACCGCCUCCAAUGAUUGUAGCACUCUUCAUAUUCCCUAUAAUAUAUUUCCUCAACUUACG